GAUUCUGGGAAAUGUAGUAGAGAAGUAGUGUUCCAGACAGGAAGUGACAUAGCAAGGAGACUCAUAUUUAAGAAGAGGAAAAAGGAAGUGUUGCUCUCUUUCCCCUCGGCUCCUGCUCCAGCGGCAAGAUGUGAUCCACCAGCUAGGAGGGACGCCAAUAAGGCGUCCGAUAAGAUAAGUCUUAUAAAAUAUAUAGAUUUAUGAUGAUUGAUACUGAGCUAACAGAUAAAAAUCCUAGUCAUUGGCCAAGCAACAUUGUAACUAAUACAAGUCUCUCUGUGUAUUCAUUUGGGCCUAACUUGGGCAGGCGGCUGCCAUAAAGCUUACACGUGGCGGUGGGGCUCAGCGGCUUUUGGCAGAAAGAUUUAUCAUAACAGUACAGUUUCUGGUAAAAGCCAGAAACUGGAAGCAGCCUAGAUGCCCCUCUACCAAAGAAUGGAUAGAGAAAAUGUGGUACAUUUACACAAUGUACUACAUAGCAGAAAAAAAAAUUGAAUCUUGAAAUUUGCAGGAAAAUGGAUGGAACUCGAAGAAACCAUUCUGAGCAAGGUAACCCAAUCACAAAAAGACAAACAUGAUAUGUACUCACUCAUAUGUGAAUUUUAGACAUAGAGUAAUGAUUACCAGCCUACAAUCCACACUGCCAGAGAAACUAGUAAACAAGGAGGACCCUAAAAGAGACAAACAUUGUCCCCUGGAGAAGGGUAAAGGGUCACCAUCCCCUGAGCAAAUUGAGAGCACGGGAAGAGUGGGGAGGAAGCUACAAGAAUGAGAAGGGGAGCAGAGAGGGGUGCAGAGGUCAUGAGGGAGCAGAAAGGUUGAGUCAGGUAAAGAAUAGAAGAAAGGAUAUGUGAUAGGUAGGGUUUUAGUUGGGGAGGUGGUAGGGGAGGAAGGGAGGGAGAAGGGAACUGGGAUUGUCAUGUAAAUCAAUCUUGUUUCUAAUUCAAAUAAAAAAGAUAAAAAAAAAUCAUAAAAAGAAAAAAUAAAGUACAUAGGAAUAUGAAAAAAAGUAGUGUACAGAAAUAGACAAUUCUCAACAGAGGAAUCUAAAAUGGCUAAAAGGCACAUAAGAAAGUGUUCAACAUCCUUAGCUAUCAGAGAAAUGCAAAUCAGAACAACUCUGAGAUACAAUCUUACCCCUGUCAGAAUGGCCAAAAUAAAAAACACCAAUGACAGUUUAUGCUGGAGAAGAUAUGGAGAAAGGGAAACAACACUUCUCUACUGCUGUUGGGAGUGCCAUCUUGUACAGCCACUUUGAAAAUCAGUAUGGCGACUCCUCAGGAAAAUGCAAAUCAGUCUACCACAAGAUCCAGGAAUCCCACUCUUAGGCAUAUACCCAAAAGAAACACAUUCAUACAACAAGGACAUCUGUUCAAUGAUGUUCAUAGCAGCAUUAUUUGUAAUACCCAGAACCUGGAAGCAACCUAGAUGCCCCUCAUCUGAAGAAUGGAUAGAGAAAAUGUGGUACAUUUACAAAAUGGAGUACUACUCAGGCAGGGGGGGCGGAACAAUGGAAUAUUGAAAUUUGCAGGAAAAUGGAUGGAACUAUAAGAAAACAUUCUGAGCAAGGUAACCCAAUCAUAAAAAGACAAACAUGGUAUGUUCUCACUCAUAUUUUAGACAUAGAGUAAAGGAUUACCAGCCUACAAUCCACACUGCCAGAGAAGCUAGUAAACAAGGAGGACCCUAAGAGAGACAUACAAGGCCCCCUGGAGAAGGGCAAAGGGACAAGAUCUCCUGAGCAAAUUGGGAGCAAGGGAAGAGGGGGGAGGGAGCUAGGAGAAUGAGAAGGGGAGAAGAGGAGGGAUGAGGAGGACAUGAGGGAGCAGAAAGGUUGAGUCAGGGGAAGAAUAGAAGAAAACAAGAAAUGAGAUACCAUAACAGAGGGAGUCAUUUUAGGUUUACAGAGAAAUCAAGCACUAGGGAUAGGUCUGGAGAUCUACCAAGAUAGCACCAACUAACAAUCUAAGCAACAGAGGAGAGGCUAUGUUAAAUGCCUUCCCCUGUUAAUGAGAUUAAUGACUGUGUUAUAUGCCAUCCUUUAGCUUUCAUCAAGCAGCUUGUAGAAGUAGAAGCAGACACCCACAGCUAAUCACUGAACUGAAUCCAGAUGCAGAGAAGGAUGAGUGAAGAGCAAAGGGGUCCAGACCAGGCUGGUGAAACCCACAGAAACUGCUGACCUGAACAAUGGGGGUCUCUUGUUCCCCACACUGAUAGCUGGGAUACCAAUAUAGGACUGAUCCAGACCCCAGGAAAAUGGGUUUCAAUGAGGAGACCUAGGAAAUCUAUGGGACCUCCUGUACUUAUCCCUAGCAUAGCUGUGGACUUUGGGAGCCCAAUCCACAUAGAGGGAUACUCCUUGAGCCAAGACACACAGGGGUGGGCCUAGGCCCUAUCCCAAAGGAUACAAUAGACUCUGAUGACCCCCUACGGAAGGCCUCACCUUCCUGGGGAGCAGAAAGGAUUUGUGAUAGCUAGGAUUUAGUUGGGGGAGGGAAGGUAGGGGGAGCUGAGGGAGUGGGAACUGGGAUUGACAUGUAAAACAAACUUGUUUAUAAUUCAAAUAAAAGAUGGAGAAAAACAAAGAUUGUCACUAAGACACAUUAUUGGGCAGACAAUGGCUAUUUAGGGAAUUAAAUGUUGCUAGAGAUAAGGUAAUUAGCCCCUGGAAAUGAAACACUCUGACCUCUCUAUAAAAGGUAAGUUCCAUUCAGUCAAUCAGUCUCUGUAGACACAGCUUUCCCUAGGAAUUCUCUUUACAUUCUCAGCUCCAUUACUUGAUUUUUUUAAUGUGGAUAUUUUUGCAGGUGAUACAAAAGGAUACAUUACCAUUAAGCCCCAAAUGGUUUCUUAAGAGUGUCUUUUGUUUGUGUAAGGAGAAUCUUCGUUCUUGGUUUUAUUCUCACAGCUACCUUAUUACUCCAGCAUAAUCUGAAGGCUGAGAGCUCACAUCUUGAACUUCAGGCAUGAAGCAGAAAGAGUACAAACUGGAAAUGACAUGAGCAUUUUACUCUCAAAGUCAACCCCUGGUGACUUGCUUCCUCCAGCAAGAUCGCACAUCUUAUACCUACCCAAACAUUGCCAACAGAGGAACCUAUGAAUGGUAGUCAUUUAAACCACCACAGUGACUAACACAAACAAUUUCAUAGGCUGCACUGGCAAAAUGACAUAUCUACAAAGCACAUCAAAGUGUUGCAUCUAAACUUCUGGUAAGAUUAACUCAAACCUGAUGAUCCAGGGAAAAGUAAGAGAUGGAAAAAAUGAAAAGCCAAAUAAUGGAUUCUACAGUAAUCACUUAUAUACUAAUUCCUGCAUACCUGGUGAAAACUGAUGUAUCUGUUCUCCUGGAAAACACCCAGACAGGAGAACCUUCAAUCAGGUAUUCAGUACUUGUUUAAUAUUGAUGGAAGCAGAGGCAGACACCCACAGAUAUACACUGAACAGAACUCUGGAAACCAGUUGCAGAGAGGGAGGAAUGAAGAUCAAAGGGGACAGUACCAGGUUGGUGAAACCCACAGAAACAGCUGGCCUGAACAAGGGGGAGCACAUGGACCCCUGACUGCUUUCUGGGAGGCCAGCACAGGACUGAUCCAGACCCCUGAAAAUGGAUGUCAAUGAGGAGGCCUCCAAACUCUAGGGAGACCCUGGUAGUGGAUUAGUAUUUUUCCCUGGUGUAAGAAGGGACUUUGAGAGCCCAUCCCACUUGAAGGGAUGCAGUCUUGCCCUGGACACUUAGGGGAGGGCUUAGGCCCAGCCCAGAAUGAUGUGGUGGACUUUGGGGACCCCCUAUGAGGGCCCUACCCUGCCUGGGGAGUGGUAGGGG
rnacentral:lncRNA from 1 species